CCUACGGGUGGCAGCAGUGGGGAAUAUUGCGCAAUGGGCGAAAGCCUGACGCAGCGACGCCGCGUGAGGGAUGAAGGUUUUCGGAUCGUAAACCUCUGUCAGCAGGGAAGAACGGUCACUGUGCUAAUCAGCAGUGAAUUGACGGUACCUGCAAAGGACGCACCGGCUAACUCCGUGCCAGCAGCCGCGGUAAUACGGAGGGUGCGAGCGUUAAUCGGAAUUACUGGGCGUAAAGCGCUCGUAGGCGGUAUGUCAAGUCUAGGGUGAAAUCCCCGCGCUCAACGUGGGAACUGCCUUUGAAACUGGCAAACUGGAGUGUGUGAGAGGAUAGUGGAAUUCCAGGUGUAGGAGUGAAAGCCGUAGAUAUCUGGAGGAACAUCAGUGGCGAAGGCGACUAUCUGGCACAUAACUGACGCUGAGGAGCGAAAGCGUGGGUAGCAAACAGGAUUAGAUACCCUGGUAGUC
rnacentral:rRNA from 1 species